AGUUAAUCAUUAUUGAGUGCAAGUGCCCAAUAGCGUCUGCUCUUGGAAGCUAAGUGAGACCGUGCCUGGUUAGUACUUGGAUGGGAGACCAACUUGCAAAGUUGUAAAACUU
rnacentral:rRNA from 12 species